rnacentral:rRNA from 1 species
CGUACGUGUUACUUGGAUAACUGUGGUAAUUCUAGAGCUAAUACAUGCGAAAAGCGCCGACUCACGGAGGCGUGCAUUUAUCAGACCAAAAACCGACCGGGCCUCGGCCCGUGCUCGUUGGUGACUCUGGAUAACUUUGCGGAUCGCACGGUCUUGCACCGGCGACAAAUCAUUCAAGUGUCUGCCCUAUCAACUUUCGUCGGUACGGUAUCUGCCUACCGAGGUUCUUACGGGUGACGGGGAAUCAGGGUUCGAUUCCGGAGAGGGAGCCUGAGAAACGGCUACCACUUCCAAGGAAGGCAGCAGGCGCGCAAAUUACCCAUUCCCGACGCGGGGAGGUAGUGACGAAAAAUAACAAUGCAGGACUCUAACGAGGCCCUGUAAUUGGAAUGAGUACACUCUAAAACUUUUAACGAGUAUCCAUUGGAGG